ACUCCUACGGGAGGCAGCAGCAAGGAAUCUUGGGCAAUGAGCGAAAGCUUGACCCAGCGACACCGCGUGAGGGAUGAAGGCCUUCGGGUUGUAAACCUCUUUUCUUGGGGAAGAAUUCUGACGGUACCCAAGGAAUAAGCCUCGGCUAACUACGUGCCAGCAGCCGCGGUAAUACGUAGGAGGCGAACGUUAUUCGGAUUUACUGGGCGUAAAGGGAGCGUAGGCGGUUCCUUAAGUCAGAUGUGAAAUCUUCUGAUUCAAUCAGAAGGCGUCAUUUGAUACUGAGGGACUUGAGAAUAGCAGAGGGAAAUGGAAUCCCCAGUGUAGCGGUGAAAUGCGUAGAUAUUGGGGAGAACACCAGUGGCGAAGGCGAUUUUCCAGGUUAUUUCUGACGCUGAGGCUCGAAAGCGUGGGGAGCGAAGCGGAUUAGAUACCCGCGUAGUCCACGCCCUAAACGGUGGACACUAGACAUGGGAGGUAUCGACCCUUUCUGUGUCGAAGCUAACGCCUUAAGUGUCCCGCCUGGGGAGUACGGCCGCAAGGCUAGAACUCAAAGGAAUUGACGGGGGUCCGCACAAGCAGCGGAGCGUGUGGUUUAAUUCGAUGCUACACGAAGAACCUUACCAGGGUUUGACAUGGCAGAAGUAGGAAUCCGAAAGGAGGACGACCUGUAUCCAGUCAGGAGCUGUCACAGGUGCUGCAUGGCUGUCGUCAGCUCGUGCCGUGAGGUGUUGGGUUAAGUCCCGCAACGAGCGCAACCCUUGUCCUAUGUUAAAUUCUCAUAGGAGACUGCCUUGUACAGCAAGGAGGAAGGAAAGGAUGACGUCAAGUCAGCAUGGCCUUUAUAUCCUGGGCUACACACACGCUACAAUGGGUGAUACAAAGGGUCGCCAAGGAGUGAUCCGGANCUAACCCCCUAAAAUCAUCCUCAGUUCGGANU
rnacentral:rRNA from 1 species